CCUGGAUGCUAUAAGGUUAAAGCAGCUGCAGCCAUCUUCUAUCUAAGAGAACAGAACCACAGGGAGUCCAUCCUGGAUUGCUAACACCACUGAGCCACUAUUUCCACCCCUCCAACAGGUGUGAGGACUUAAACCCAGGAUGAAAGGCUUGGCAACAAACACCCGUAUCUCCUGAGCCAUCUUACCAGCCCCAGGACUUGCUGUUUUUAAAGAUUUCUUAGCCAUUAUCAUCAUGGCAGGAAGCAUUGCAGUAUCCAGGCAGGCAUGGCUGUGGAGGAGCUCAGAGUUCUACAUCUUGUUCCUCAGGCAAACAGGAGAAGACUGCCCACCCCCACAGUGACAUGCUGCCUGCAACGAGGCCACGCCUCCUAAUGGUAGCAUUCCCUGUGGGCUAACCAUUCAAACACAUGCAUCUAUGGGACCAAACCUAUUCAAACCACCACAAGAGAGGAAUACACCAAAGAGACAUCUGGACCCUGGAGUCACAGCCACCUCAGUUGUCAUCCCAGCCCAGGCAUUCUCCAGCCAUAGCAAGCCGUCUGCCUCCCCAGUCUUACUUUCUCUGUUUGAAUAAUAAGAGAAAACUGACCUAAAGAAGUACUUACGACAAGCAUCUUCACAAAUCAGAACUCUAUAAAUGAAAGCUAUAUAAAAGUGAUCUAGGUAGGGUGGGUGUGUGUGUGUGCGCACACGCGCGUGUGCGUGUGUGUAAAACACUUGAUAUGCUCUGGGUGGUAGCUGCGUACACCUUUUUAUCCCAGCACUCAGGAGGCAGAGGCAGGCAGAUCUCUGAGUUUGAAAUCAGCCUGGUCUACAGAGUGAGUUCCAGGUCAGCUGGGGUUCCACAGAGAAACCCUGUCUCAAAACCAACCAACAAACAAACAAAACAAAAACAAAAACAAAAAACAACAAGCAAACAAAAACUCUUGAUAUACAACCAAAAUUGAAGCUUCUCAGUGGAUGGCAUGGUUUUAAAUUAUGAACUGUAACAAACAGCAUAAACCAGCAGACCACACAUAUUCCAUACUUCAAUAAUCUGUCUUCCACAGAUCCAACAGAUCUCAAUAAAAUGCAACACUCCCAUUCAGCUCUGUGCUAUAAAUUUUAUCUCCACAUUCACUUCUCCAUCCAAUACACCCUCCCACAUUCCCCGGAUAGCACCAUUUGUUGUUGUUGUUGUUGUUGUUGUUGUUGUUGUUAUUGUUGUUGUUGUUUAGACAAGAAGGGAAUUCUUAAAAAUUCUUAAAUUCUUAAAAAUUCUUAAAAAAACUCUUCUUAAGCACGGGCUUGAUCUUCCUAGACCAUCUUCACUCAUACUUACCCACUGUCCAAAAUCUAAAUUGUUAUCA
rnacentral:lncRNA from 1 species